rnacentral:lncRNA from 1 species
CAAAGCUGCUCACGACCAGCAUAUAACCUGCAUCUGUGAGCACAGGCGUGGUCAUGUACGGUAGAGGUAUAUAGCUUUUGUGUUCUUACUGUCUCCUCCAGCCCUGAUGGCAGUUACGUGGCAGCAGGCUCAGCUGACGGCUCUCUUUAUGUAUGGAGUGUGCUCACGGGGAAAGUAGAGAAGGUUCUCUCCAAGCAGCACAGCUCUUCUAUCAAUGCGGUGGCGUGGGCCCCCUCUGGCUUACAUGUUGUCAGUGUGGACAAAGGAAGCAGAGCUGUGCUAUGGGCACAGCCUUGAUGCCACUCCCUGAGGAGCAGCGUGGGACCCCGCAGCCCAUUUUGGAGAAUGAUGUGUCCUCCCAGAGAAGAGCUGAAGCUAUAUGGCACCCACCGUACCUUUCCUAAGAACUUUGACUUAAGGUCUCUAAUGGGUGAGAAGAACCAACACAGAACCAAACUGACUCGCACGUCCCUAGCAGGGGUUCCGGUUCUUGUCGCAUGUGGGUGGGAAACACUACUAACUCUGACCUUCCAUACCUCAUGGGGAGCACAGGGUCCCUGCUGGGUCUCCCCACUGGACACAGUGCCAAGGACAGCCCCACACAUCGGGUAUUGGGUCCCCUGUGCUUUUCCCGUCUUUCCAAAGUCUGUUGUAGCCUGAUGCACACCCCUUUUCUGUGGGGUCACUUACCCAGGGGGCUCACUGAAGGCAUUGGGUUAGUGGAAAC